ACUCGCUUGUUUACAGCAACAGUAUUCAGAUAGUUAUUGCUCUUGCAAUUUAUCGGUUGGCCAUGUCAAAUCCAACGAAAGUUUAGCAAAAAAUACCUGAAUCUCUUUUCAAAGACUACAUUUCCACAUUGUCCCAUGAGUCUUCAUUGUUACAUGUCUGCUGACUGAAGUGACAGAAUUCUAACAGCCUCAAAGCCUAUGCCGGGAGUCAUGGCUGUAUCCCCCAGGGAUGACGUGUUUGAGGAUCCCGUCUUCUGGGAAAGGGAAAGUGACCACCUGCUGGGAGAAGGUGGCCUCAAGCCGUCAAGCCUUACUAGUUACAGGCCACAUAAUGACAUCCUGAGCCACUGAGCAGCCAACUGGGAACCAGAGCAGUCAAAUCUUUGUGAGAGGUUCUGACAAUGUGACACAGGUGAGUGACUGGGCCACUCCACCUGGCUGAUCCCAGCACUGGGACGUGGAAGCAUCAACCACAGGACAAGGCCUUCUUCCAAGGGCGGUGUCUCAAGCUGCACUAAUCUAGUUCCAGCAGAGACAUGCACAAGGAAGCAACACCAUUUCUCAGGAAAUCCUGGCCGUGCUGCUGGUAGAAGCAGUGCCGCACACCAUGGGGCAACUAAUAGUUUCUGGUAAAUGUGGAUUUCUGCGGCUCUUCUGGAAAGGUGAAUGACUGAAGUGCUUCCUUCCCACACUUGCCCCCAGAGCAUUUUACAAAGCUGUUUCAAAAGACUACUUUUACUUUGUGGCCUAUUUUUCUGAGAGUCAGAUUAGAGAUGUGGCAACAGUAGACAUGUUUCUCCUAAAAGUAGCUUUGGGCAAUCACCACAGAGUCUUAAAAAAAAAAAAAAAAAAAAAGACUUUUCCUUCUAUCAAGGGGAAGAGUAAUACAGCUUGUUUCAGAAGAGAAGACGAACUUGAACCUUUCCUGUGUGAGCUUUGUAGCCCCGGGAACAGUCUGAUGAAAGGCCAUCUUUAAAUAAUUCUUCAGGAUGAUGUUUUCACUGGUUCAAGCUUCUCAUUAAGGGAAUACCUGCAUACAGCUAACGGAAUCCAGGUGUGUAAUCCAGAACAGAAGUGCCGGGUGUGGGGUGCAGCUCAGUGCUAGGGCAUGUGCUAAGCACGUGUGAGGACCUGGGUUCAAUCCCCAACACUACUCCCCCCAAAACCAGAAAUGCAUUCCCCAGGAAGCUAAAGAUACAGUGGCAACCAGAGUCAAGCAUCAUUUCAGGCAGGGGUUGUGUCACAGUAGGUUUAGCGGUGCCCAGAGUUUCCGGCACAAAGCCCUGUACCUCAUAGGAGCUCAAAGAUACCUCUUGGAUGAAACAGUAAAUGAGAUGGCUUCAGGGGACAGGGAGGGAACUUACAAGGGGAGCAUAAUCCUCCUGCCUCCAACUGCUGCUGGUAACAUGCUGGAAAGAUCCGUGAAAGGCAAAAUCAAUUUUAACCUGAGUGAAGGAUGUGAGAGAUUUGACUGAAAAAAUUCAUUUUCAGAAAUUGCUCAGAAAACAUAUUAAAAAGAAAAAGGGAAAUUAUCCUUUUAAAUAGGUAUUGAAAUAUAUUCUAAAGUAAUAAAAAUGAAAAAUGUUUGGCACUAGCAUGAACCAGUGAAAUAGCAUAGAACGUGCAAAUCAACCCCUAACAUGGAAGAUUACUAUAUGAUGUAGGAAACAAUUCAAAUCAAUAGGGGAAAAAGUGAUUGUUCAAUAAACAAUGCUGGGACACUUAGCUAGAUAACUGGCAAAAAACAAAACCUGGAUCCCUAUUUCAUUCCUUAUUACAAACUGAAUUUCAGAAGAAGGAAUUUAAAGGUAAAAUUCACACACCACCACUAGAAGAAACUAUGGCUAAAGAUUCAAAAUAGCAUGCCAAAAUGUUCAGACUUUUUUUAAGAUGGAGAAUUUGACUACGUAAAAACUUUUAACAUGUAUCUGGGAGAAAACAUAAUAGUCAAAAUGAAACUGACAAAAAAAAAAAAAAAACAGACUGUCACCUAAGUAACCUGGGUUUAAUGUUCUUUGUAUUCAUUGAGCUCUAACAUAUUCAUAAGAAAAAGACAAACACCCUAUCUCUUCACUCACCCAUAUAAGAAAGGAUAAAAACAGUAAGGAAAUAGAAAAAGAAAAAAGAAUACACCCGAAACACAUUAAAAAGAUGUUCAAUCUCUUUCCUAAGUAAAGAAAUGUCAAUUAAAAUAUGAUAGAUCUUUUACCUAUUAGAUUAGCAAAGAUCAAAACAUCUGAUAAUACUCAGUACUAGUGAAAACACAAUAAAACUGUCACUUACAUGAGUGGUAAGAAUGUAAUUGGUUUAAUAAUUUUGGUGGUAAUUAGGCAAAAACAACUGAGCUAUUCUACUUGAAGAAAUGCAUCCCACAGAUAAGCCUAUAUUAGAUUUGUAUGUAUAAAUGUAUAUGCAAGAAUGUUCAGGGCCAUAUUGUUAAUGAGAGUUGUUAAUAUUUAUACGAGGUCAGCUAGGUGCUGAGGAUUACCCCUGUAGUUCCAGCUACUUAGGAGGCUGAGGCAGAAGGUCCCUUGAACCAGGAGAUCAAGGGCCAGCCUGUUCAACACAGCAAGACACCAUAUAAGGGGGAUGGGGAGGGGAGGGGUGGAGAGGAGGAGAAAGAGAAAAUGAAAGAAAAGAAGUUACGGAAGGUCAUGGGUUUGGACUCAGCUCCUGCAUGAGGUACAACAGAGUCCCUCAGUUGACACUUCAGGUCACCAGACUGAAACUAAGUUGUUUGUCAGACCCGAGAAAGCAAGGGAAAGAUGAGAGCCAAAUUCCUGAACAGGCCAGUUUUUGCA